rnacentral:rRNA from 1 species
GACGAACGCUGACGGCGUGCCUAAUACAUGCAAGUCGAGCGAAUCAAUAGGAGCUUGCUCCUGUUGGUUAGCGGCGGACGGGUGAGUAACACGUGGGCAACCUGCCUGUAAGACUGGGAUAACACCGGGAAACCGGUGCUAAUACCGGAUAAUCCUUUUCCUCUCAUGAGGAAAAGCUGAAAGUCGGUUUCGGCUGACACUUACAGAUGGGCCCGCGGCGCAUUAGCUAGUUGGUGAGGUAAUGGCUCACCAAGGCGACGAUGCGUAGCCGACCUGAGAGGGUGAUCGGCCACACUGGGAAUGAGACACGGCCCAGACUCCUACGGGAGGCAGCAGUAGGGAAUCUUCCACAAUGGACGAAAGUCUGAUGGAGCAACGCCGCGUGAGCGAUGAAGGCCUUCGGGUCGUAAAGCUCUGUUGUUAGGGAAGAACAAGUACCGGAGUAACUGCCGGUACCUUGACGGUACCUAACCAGAAAGCCACGGCUAACUACGUGCCAGCCGCCGCAGUAAAAC